rnacentral:rRNA from 1 species
AUUGAACGCUGGCGGCAGGCUUAACACAUGCAAGUCGAGCGCGCGGCGGACGGGUGAGUAAUGUCUGGGAAUCUGCCUGAUGGAGGGGGAUAUCUACUGGACACUGUCGCUUAUCCCGUAUACUCUCAGAUGUGCCCAGAUGGGAUUAGCUAGUAGGUGGGGUAAUGGCUCACCUAGGCGACGAUCCCUAGUUGGUCUGAGAGGAUGACCAGCCACACUGGAACUGAGACACGGUCCAGACUCCUACGGGAGGCAGCAGUGGGGAAUAUUGCACAAUGGGCGCAAGCCUGAUGCAGCCAUGCCGCGUGUGUGAAGAAGGCCUUCGGGUUGUAAAGCACUUUCAGCGAGGAGGCGUUACUCGCAGAAGAAGCACCGGCUAACUCCGUGCCAGCAGCCGCGGUAAUUC